CUGUGGGCUCCCGAUGGUGUGCAGUUAAUCACCUACGUAACCCAAACUUCAAGUCAUAAGAAACUUUGAGUAGACUCUGCAUUUUUGUACUUCUCAUGAAGGGGGAAGUCACCAGCAACCUCCUUGUUGUAUUCACCAUAAUUCAAGACAUAGAAAGCUGUCCUACUGACUUUUGAAGCGGAUGUCUACAUAUUCUUAGAGUCAUCAUAAGCCUGGGAGCUUAUCUUUACUCCCAAGAGCUGUUGCAAAUGGUCUGACGAUGCAGUCGAUACCUGGAACAUCACCUGAACGGAGUAUUCUUACCUGAGUCAUGGGCAAGUCACUCGUUUAAG
rnacentral:lncRNA from 1 species